rnacentral:rRNA from 1 species
UACGUAGGGUGCGAGCGUUAAUCGGAAUUACUGGGCGUAAAGCGUGCGCAGGCGGUUCUCCAAGUCCGUUGUGAAAGCCCCGGGCUCAACCUGGGAAUGGCAUUUGGGACUGCAAGGCUGGAGUGCGGCAGAGGAGACUGGAAUUCCUGGUGUAGCAGUGAAAUGCGUAGAUAUCAGGAGGAAUACCGAUGGCGAAGGCAGGUCUCUGGGCUGACACUGACGCUCAUGCACGAAAGCGUGGGGAGCAAACAGG